rnacentral:tRNA from 1 species
GGUUCAGUAUGCUGUAGUGGUUAGAGUGCUGGACUAGGACCUGGGAGACCAGGGUUCAAAUCCCCACUCAGCCA